AGUGAAGCACGCAGUCAGUAAGAUCCUCUUUGUUCAAGAGACCAACAUGGAAACCAACAGCACUUUCAACAAUCAUAUGGAGCACAGCAUCUUUCCAGCAGCAUCACUGUGCUCUGAAGAUCUGGAGAUGAUGGUGGUCAGGAGAGAUCGUGAGAUUCUGCAUCUGCG